GAGGGUACAAGUCAGUGGUAGAGUGCAUGCUUAUCAUGCAUGAGGUACUGGGUUCAACCCUCAGUACCUCCA
rnacentral:tRNA from 1 species